ACACAUGCAAGUCGAACGAGCGAGAGAGAGCUUGCUUUCUCGAGCGAGUGGCGAACGGGUGAGUAACGCGUGAGGAACCUGCCUCAAAGAGGGGGACAACAGUUGGAAACGACUGCUAAUACCGCAUAAGCCCACGGGUCGGCAUCGACCAGAGGGAAAAGGAGCAAUCCGCUUUGAGAUGGCCUCGCGUUCGAUUAGCUAGUUGGUGAGGUAAUGGCCCACCAAGGCGACGAUCGGUAGCCGGACUGAGAGGUUGAACGGCCACAUUGGGACUGAGACACGGCCCAGACUCCUACGGGAGGCAGCAGUGGGGAAUAUUGCACAAUGGGGGAAACCCUGAUGCAGCGACGCCGCGUGGAGGAAGAAGGUCUUCGGAUUGUAAACUCCUGUUGUUGAGGAAGAUAAUGACGGUACUCAACAAGGAAGUGACGGCUAACUACGUGCCAGCAGCCGCGGUAAAACGUAGGUCACAAGCGUUGUCCGGAAUUACUGGGUGUAAAGGGAGCGCAGGCGGGAAGACAAGUUGGAAGUGAAAUCUAUGGGCUCAACCCAUAAACUGCUUUCAAAACUGUUUUUCUUGAGUAGUGCAGAGGUAGGCGGAAUUCCCGGUGUAGCGGUGGAAUGCGUAGAUAUCGGGAGGAACACCAGUGGCGAAGGCGGCCUACUGGGCACCAACUGACGCUGAGGCUCGAAAGUGUGGGUAGCAAACAGGAUUAGAUACCCUGGUAGUCCACACCGUAAACGAUGAUUACUAGGUGUUGGAGGAUUGACCCCUUCAGUGCCGCAGUUAACACAAUAAGUAAUCCACCUGGGGAGUACGACCGCAAGGUUGAAACUCAAA
rnacentral:rRNA from 1 species